GAUGAACGCUAGCGGCAGGCUUAAUACAUGCAAGUCGAGGGGCAGCACGGGUAGCAAUACCUGGUGGCGACCGGCAAACGGGUGCGGAACACGUACGCAACUUUCCCAAAACUGGUGAAUAGCCCUCCGAAAGGAGGAUUAAUACACCGUAACAUAAUGAAGUGGCAUCACUUUAUUAUUAUAGCUCCGGCGGUUUUGGAUGGGCGUGCGCCUGAUUAGGUAGUUGGCGGGGUAACGGCCCACCAAGCCUGCGAUCAGUAACUGGUGUGAGAGCACGACCAGUCACACGGGCACUGAGACACGGGCCCGACUCCUACGGGAGGCAGCAGUAAGGAAUAUUGGUCAAUGGACGAAAGUCUGAACCAGCCAUGCCGCGUGAAGGAUGAAGGUCCUCUGGAUUGUAAACUUCUUUUAUCUGGGACGAAAAAGGGAAUUCUUUCUCACUUGACGGUACCAGAGGAAUAAGCACCGGCUAACUCCGUG
rnacentral:rRNA from 1 species